CAGCAGCCGCGGGAAUACAGAGGGUGCAAGCGUUAAUCGGAAUUACUGGGCGUAAAGCGUGCGUAGGCGGCUUCUUAAGUCGGAUGUGAAAUCCCUGAGCUUAACUUAGGAAUUGCAUUCGAUACUGGGAAGCUAGGGUAUGGGAGAGGAUGGUAGAAUUCCAGGUGUAGCGGUGAAAUGCGUAGAGAUCUGGAGGAAUACCGAUGGCGAAGGCAGCCAUCUGGCCUAAUACUGACGCUGAGGUACGAAAGCAUGGGGAGCAAACAGGAUUAGAUACCCCUGUAGUCCCUGUCUCUUAUAC
rnacentral:rRNA from 1 species